rnacentral:tRNA from 1 species
GGGGAUGUAGCUCAGCAGAAGAGCGCAUGCUUUGCACCCGGGUUCAAUCCCCGUCAUCUCCA